rnacentral:misc_RNA from 1 species
AUUUUUUUUUGUUGAAUAUUACAUUUUUUUGCCUUCAAUAUCAUGUUUAAUCUUCUCACUGGGUAUUGAAUGAUUAAAUUAGCGUUAAAUGUGAUGAUGGAUCUAGAAUUCUUGUUAUUGUUUUGUAUGAUCUUGUGGGUUGGGCUGGGCCUAAAUUUUGCAUUGGUAUAAUUAGCUGCAUUCCUUGUAAGUUGGUUGAAAUUUGAAAAACCUUUGCUUUAUUUUUUAACAUCAUUUGAUUUUGACUGAACUCAUUAGUGAAAACUUUUACCUUUUGAUAUAACCUUCAAACGUCUAGACAACCCAAUACUGCUGCGCUAAAUCUGGUGAAAACUUUUGCCUUUUGAUGUAAGAGUAAAAUUGUGAUCAUGGUUUUCCAAGGAAGGGGUUAUCAGGUCCUUAAACUUUGUGUUUGCUGCUAAACUACUGAACUAUUAGUUCAAUGGUAUUUGCAUUUUUUUUUUUGACCCUUUUGCUUUAUGAGAGAAAAUUGCAUCAUUCAAGUUUUAAAGAAUGUUAUAGAUGUGUAAUUUGGUUAAUAUUUCAAUUAUCUGUAUAUAGGAGGUUCAGUUCAAUCCCUGAAUCGCCUUAUGUUCUUAAAAAAAAAAUUCCUAGUUUUUGAAAAAUAAAUUUGAAUAAAUUAUACUUUAGGAUGAUUCCAAAUAUUUGGACGGUAGCAAAUUUGGAGUUGGGACAAGUGCCAUUAAUGCCAUUGCAUUGCAUACAUCUCUACUCUAUCAUAUGGGGACAAAAAUGAGGAACGGAUUUAUUGGAACUCUCUAGUAAUUGGUCCAUAAAAUAAGACAAAAAUAUGACCAGAAAUUAAGCAUUUCACGAUGUAAAUCACUCGAGCUUAAAGGAGAGAAAAGGCGAUAAUAUUUACACAUUUUUGGCUUCUUGUUUGCUGCCCUUCUUUGCUGCUGAAUAUUUGAUGUCUCUGCUUGCUAUGGUGGAGGUUGCUUUGGAUUGUCGGUUUCUUUGUUUUGCUGCUGCCUAGUUUCCUUAGAAUUUUAGUCCCUGUUUAUUGGGUAUUGCUAGCUUAUUUCCUUUGUUUGGCUUCCAUUUUGUAAGCUGCUUGUUUGGUUGCUGCAUUUCAAGUCCUUUUGUUUGAUCAAUUGUCAACCUUUCAGGUGGUUUUUCCAUGUACUUGGUCCAUUUCUCUUAAUAAAAAUUAUUUUGCUUAUUAAAAAAAAAAAAAA